GUCCCUGCAGUGCAGUGGAUAGCGCGUUGGACAUCUAAUCCAAGGUCAUGGGUUUGAAUUCCAUCUGGGCUGACU